rnacentral:rRNA from 1 species
AAGGUUAAGAGGACCUGUUAGACCCCUUUGCGGGUCGAAGCGGAGAAUUUAAGCCCCAGUAAACGGCGGUGGUAACUAUAACCAUCCUAAGGUAGCGAAAUUCCUUGUCGGGUAAGUUCCGACCUGCACGAAUGGCGUAACGACUUCCCUGCUGUCUCAACCACAGACCCGGCGAAAUUGCAGUACGAGUAAAGAUGCUCGUUACGCGCGGCAGGACGAAAAGACCCCGGGACCUUCACUAUAGCUUGGUAUUGGUGUUCGGUUCGGUUUGUGUAGGAUAGGUGGGAGACUGUGAUGCCUCAACGCCAGUUGGGGUGGAGUCGUUGUUGAAAUACCACUCUGAUCGUAUUGGACAUCUCAACCUCGGCCCGUGAUCCGGGUUAGGGACAGUGCCUGGUGGGUAGUUUAACUGGGGCGGUUGCCUCCCAAAGAGUAACGGAGGCGCCCAAAGGUUCCCUCAGCCUGGUUGGCAAUCAGGUGUUGAGUGUAAGUGCACAAGGGAGCUUGACUGUGAGACUGACAGGUCGAGCAGGUAGGAAACUAGGGACUAGUGAUCCGGCACCGGCUUGUGGAAGCGGUGUCGCUCAACGGAUAAAAGGUACCCCGGGGAUAACAGGCUGAUCUUCCCCAAGAGUCCAUAUCGACGGGAUGGUUUGGCACCUCGAUGUCGGCUCGUCGCAUCCUGGGGCUGGAGUAGGUCCCAAGGGUUGGGCUGUUCGCCCAUUAAAGCGGCACGCGAGCUGGGUUUAGAACGUCGUGAGACAGUUCGGUCUCUAUCCGCCGCGCGCGUAGAAACUUGAGGAAGGCUGUCCCUAGUACGAGAGGACCGGGAUGGACGUACCUCUGGUGUGCCAGUUGUCCCGCCUGGGGCAUGGCUGGUUGGCUACGUACGGAAGGGAUAACCGCUGAAAGCAUCUAAGCGGGAAGCCUGUUCCAAGAUUAGGUUUCUUUUGAGGUCCCCUAUAGAUGAUGGGGUUGAUAGGCCGGAUCUGGAAGCAUCGUAAGGUGUGGAGGUGACCGGUACUAAUAGACCAAACAUUCAACACACAAAGU